ensembl:lncRNA
AUCAGUCACUCUAGCCGUGUAAUGCUUAAGGUUGUACCCAUCCAGUUACACCAUCAAAGUAAAUCUCUGGACACAUAUGCUCUUCUUGAUGAUGGCUCAGAGAAAACCAUUAUACUCCCUGCUGCUGUCAAGUUGUUAGGCUUAAUCCAGGAGGAGGAAACUCUAUCUCUGCGUACUAUUCGUCAAGAUGUGAUCCAUAUUAAAGGAGGAUAUGUCUCUUUCCAGGUGUCCCCAAAGGCCAAGCCGAGAAUACGUUACAAGAUAACACAUGCCUUUACCGCCCAACAGCUCAGCCUAGCUGAACAGUCAUGCCCAGUGGAGCUUUUAAAGGAGAAGUAUCAUCACCUACAGCGAGUGCAGCUUGAAGGGUUCAAUCAGAUACAGCCACUUGUGUUAAUCGGCUCUGACAAUGCUCACCUCAUAACUCCUGUUCGUUCUAUCCUGCGAGGCUCUGCCCAAGGACCUGUCGCCGUCUGCACCAAGCUCGGAUGGGCCAUCCAGGGUCCGAGCUGCAGUAUGCCUACACAGCAGAGGGAGGCGCACUGCCUGAACAUAUCAUGCCUUUCUCCUGCCAUUGCCCUUCAACAGGAUGUACAGCGUCUAUGGCAACUAGAUGCUCCCCUCUAUAGACCUGGGAAGGAGGUCACCCGCUCAAAGGAGGACAGAGAAGCCAUAGCCAUGUUAGAGGCCAAGACCAUCAGAGUACCUGUGGAUGGUGUAGAGCAAUACGCCACCCCCCUGCUCAGGAAGAAGGACUUCCCACAGAUGCAUGUCUCCUCUGAAGUAGUUAAAGGCCUUCUGAGGUCCACUGAGCGUAAGUUAGCUAGGAAUCCUGACCUGGCACUCAAAUACAACCAGGAGAUCAAGAGGUUGAUAGAUUCUGGUUAUGUGGUGAAGCUGACUCCCGAAGAGAUUCAUAGCUCUGCUGAAUCUUGGUAUGUACCACACCACAUUGUACAUCAUAACAACAAAGCUCGGGUAGUCUUUAACUGCUCCUUUGAGUUCCAGGGGACCGUUCUUAACCACUACCUCCUGCCAGGACCCC